rnacentral:lncRNA from 1 species
CUUUGGACUUACAAAGUCCUGCACUCAAGUCCCCCAUGUCCAAAUUUGCCACUUCCUGGAUGUGUGGCCCAGGUCAGCCUACUUAAUCUUGCUGAUAUUCCAGUUUUUCAUCAGGAACAAGGCUGAUCAUAAUACUACCUUGAAGGAUUGCUGUGAGGACUAGCUAGAGGGAUUGUGUGAGAGUCCCUUGCCCAAUGUCUGGAACACAGCUGGGCGCAGUGGCUCACGCCCGUAAUCCCAGCACUUUGGGACGCCGAGGUGGGUGGAUCAUGAGAUCAGGAGUUCGAGACCAGCCUGGCCAACAUGGUGAAACCCGUCCUGAAUAAAAAUACAAAAACUAGCCAGGCGUGGUGGCACACGCCUGUAAUCCCAGCUACUCUGGAGGCUGAAGCAGGAGAAUCACUUGAACCUGGGAGGCGAACUUUGCAGUGAGCUGAGAUUGUGCCACUGCACUCCAGCCUGGGCGACAGAGCAAGACUCCAUCUCGAAAAAAUAUAAAUAAAUAAAUAAAUAAAGUAUUGCAUUAAAAUAGUC